rnacentral:rRNA from 1 species
UACGUAGGGUGCAAGCGUUGUCCGGAAUUAUUGGGCGUAAAGAGCUCGUAGGCGGUCAGUCGCGUCUGCUGUGAAAACUCGGGGCUUAACUCCGGGCCUGCAGUGGGUACGGGCUGACUAGAGUUCGGUAGGGGAGACUGGAAUUCCUGGUGUAGCGGUGAAAUGCGCAGAUAUCAGGAGGAACACCGGUGGCGAAGGCGGGUCUCUGGGCCGAUACUGACGCUGAGGAGCGAAAGCGUGGGGAGCGAACAGG